GAGAAUGUAAUGCUCGCGACUGCAGGGAUUUCCCCCUCUGCACUGCUGCCCUCGCAGGCUUUAACCCAUCGGUCGCCUCCUCCUCUCCAGCCUUCGGAGUUUUCUUCUUAAUUGUCAUAUCUGAAGAUCAGACGUGAACACCUGGAAACAGGCAGCCAAGCACUCCUGACAAUUUCAGCUUGCACUCUGGAGAGAAAGGAUGCUUUCCAGAGCAAAGUGACAGAUGAAAAGAAGAACUAACAAGCAAGGCAUCCUGAGGAAGACAACCAAGCAGACAGAAAUGUGGAGUGCAAACCACAGGCCGUUUCUGCAGUCCUCACUGAACACAAGAAGUACCAGGAACCUCAUGGGAAAGCAUAUUUCUUAGGAGCUGAACAUACCAACAAAUAUUCUCUGCCGUGAGUUAAACACUCAGCCUUAAAACCUCCAAGGAAAUGUCCCUGGACCUCCUAUAACCACUACUGGGGAUUGCCACACAUAGUCCAUUGCAUCCCUCUGACGGUGACACAGCAACAUCCCCAUCGGAUUAUGUUCAUAUUAUCUGAGGCAUACGUUGAAGUCUCUAAUAUGUGAAUUCAUAUUAAUGAGAUGAUUUACUGACACGUAAGUAACGUAAGCGUUAUGGUCCUGCAUGAGCAGGCUGUGAACAGCUCUGGGGAGACAAUGCUGUCUGCCCCCUUCGUUCUUUCCUCUGGAGGGAUCGGCUCCUUCAGCCAGGUUACCACGCAAACGCGUGUGCCUGGCAUGCAUGGCAAAUGCAUGUGGGCAGGCAAUGACAGAGGUCUUGAGAUUAGCUCCAGAGGGGCUGCAACCUCAGUAAUCCACACCUCUAAUGCAGAGGCAUCUCUCCGGAAAUAUUGCCAGGGCCAUUGAAAGCCUCCGAAACACCUGAAAUAUAAAAAGCUCUGUAGAUUUAACUGUUAGUAAUAGCCACACAAAUCUUUUCUUACCACUUGU